rnacentral:rRNA from 1 species
CUACGUGCCAGCAGCCGCGGUAAUACGGAAGGUCCGGGCGUUAUCCGGAUUUAUUGGGUUUAAAGGGAGCGUAGGCUGGAGAUUAAGUGUGUUGUGAAAUGUAGACGCUCAACGUCUGAAUUGCAGCGCAUACUGGUUUCCUUGAGUACGCACAACGUUGGCGGAAUUCGUCGUGUAGCGGUGAAAUGCUUAGAUAUGACGAAGAACUCCGAUUGCGAAGGCAGCUGACGGGAGCGCAACUGACGCUUAAGCUCGAAGGUGCGGGUAUCAAACAGGAUUAGAUACCCUGGUAGUCCGCACAGUAAACGAUGGAUGCCCGCUGUUGGUACCUGGUAUCAGCGGCUAAGCGAAAGCAUUAAGCAUCCCACCUGGGGAGUACGCCGGCAACGGUGAAACUCAAAGGAAUUGACGGGGGCCCGCACAAGCGGAGGAACAUGUGGUUUAAUUCGAUGAUACGCGAGGAACCUUACCCGGGCUUGAAUUGCAGAGGAAGGAUUUAGAGAUA